CCAUGCAGUCGAACGGCAGCAUAGGAGCUUGCUCCUGAUGGCGAGUGGCGAACGGGUGAGUAAUAUAUCGGAACGUGCCCUAGAGUGGGGGAUAACUAGUCGAAAGACUAGCUAAUACCGCAUACGAUCUACGGAUGAAAGUGGGGGAUCGCAAGACCUCAUGCUCCUGGAGCGGCCGAUAUCUGAUUAGCUAGUUGGUGGGGUAAAAGCCUACCAAGGCAACGAUCAGUAGCUGGUCUGAGAGGACGACCAGCCACACUGGGACUGAGACACGGCCCAGACUCCUACGGGAGGCAGCAGUGGGGAAUUUUGGACAAUGGGGGCAACCCUGAUCCAGCAAUGCCGCGUGAGUGAAGAAGGCCUUCGGGUUGUAAAGCUCUUUUGUCAGGGAAGAAACGGUAGUAGCGAAUAACUAUUACUAAUGACGGUACCUGAAGAAUAAGCACCGGCUAACUACGUGCCAGCAGCCGCGGUAAUACGUAGGGUGCAAGCGUUAAUCGGAAUUACUGGGCGUAAAGCGUGCGCAGGCGGUUGUGUAAGUCAGAUGUGAAAUCCCCGGGCUCAACCUGGGAAUUGCAUUUGAGACUGCACGGCUAGAGUGUGUCAGAGGGGGGUAGAAUUCCACGUGUAGCAGUGAAAUGCGUAGAUAUGUGGAGGAAUACCGAUGGCGAAGGCAGCCCCCUGGGAUAACACUGACGCUCA
rnacentral:rRNA from 1 species